AUCCAUCUGACGAGUCCCAAAUAGGAGGAAACGUGAGUUCUGGAU
rnacentral:hammerhead_ribozyme from 1 species